rnacentral:rRNA from 1 species
UGAAAUCUGGCUUCGGCCCGAGUUGUAAUUUGUAGAGGAUGCUUUUGGUGAGGUGCCUUCUGAGUUCCCUGGAACGGGACGCCAGAGAGGGUGAGAGCCCCGUAUAGUCGGCCACCGAUCCUUUGUAAAGCUCCUUCGACGAGUCGAGUAGUUUGGGAAUGCUGCUCAAAAUGGGAGGUAUAUCUCUUCUAAAGCUAAAUAUAGGCCAGAGACCGAUAGCGCACAAGUAGAGUGAUCGAAAGAUGAAAAGCACUUUGAAAAGAGGGUUAAAUAGCACGUGAAAUUGUUGAAAGGGAAGCGCUUGUGACCAGACUUGUGCCGGGCUGAUCAUCCAGUGUUCUCACUGGUGCACUCGACCCGGCUCAGGCCAGCGUCGGUUUUCGUGGGGGGAUAAAAGCUUCGGGAACGUGGCACCUUCGGGUGUGUUAUAGCCCGUUGCUUAAUACCUCCGUGGAGACCGAGGU